GGGCGCGUAGCUCAGCGGGAGAGCAUCCGCUUCACACGCGGGAGGUCGCAAGUUCAAUCCUUGCCGCGCCCACCA
rnacentral:tRNA from 1 species